CCUUUCGUCAAAUCCUAC
rnacentral:snRNA from 1 species